UGGCCCCUAGUUUGGUUGGUCGUCAGGUCCUGCCUUGUGCGGAGGCUGCUGGCUGCUGCAGUGGUGCCUGGUCACAAGGUGGCUGGUUGCUGGAUCCUAGGGGGCCCCGGGGCUAGUGCUCGCUCACUGGUGGGCAGACUUAGGGUCCCGAAGACUCUGGGGCUGCUGCCCACCCACUGGCAGGUGAAACCAGGUCCUGGGGUUAGUGCCGGACGACUGGCAGGCAGAGCCGGUUCCUGGAGUCUGGCCGCAGGGCCCAGGGAUCCCAGAGCUGGUGUCAGAUCACUGCCAGGUGUGGGGCGGGAGGGUUCAUGUCACAGUUGGCUGUGGGGUCCGGGGUGUCCCGAAGGUCGUGUUGGCCUGCCAGUGGGUAGGGCCAGGGCCCAGCUGGUCCCAGGGUAGCUCUGGCCUGGGUUGCGGAUCUUAUUUUUCUUGUUUCUGGAGUCUGUCCCCCUGGUGAGUGAGGCUGGCCUAGAGGCUUGUGCAGGCUUCCUGGUGGGAGGGGCGGAUGUCCGCCCACUGGUGGGUGGAGCUGGGUCUUGGCUCUCUGGUGGGCUGGGCCCACGUUAGGGGCGAGUCCGGAGGCAGCUGUGGGCUCUUUAGUUUUUAGCCUGUUUGCUGGUGGGUGGGGCUAUGUCCUCACCCACUUAAGUGUUUGGCCUGAGGCGUCCCAGCUCUGGCGCCUGCAGGGUGUUCGGUGGUGGUGCUAGGCCUUGGUGUCUAGGAGCCAAGAUACCAGCCACCAGCGGCAGCAGCGUUCACGCAGGUGAACGGUCCCCAACAUGUCUGACACCAGUGCCUACGAGCCACAGCCGCCGCCGCCUCUCCAGGAGGCUCUCCAAGACCAGCAGCAACAGAAACAUGAGGUCAGUCCAGCCUGAGGCAGUUUGUCCAAGAGGAGGUGGAGGAAGGACUGCUAAGUGAUUGGAAGUCUGACUUGCCUUUCAUGGCAGAAGAUGACAUCAUCUUUCGGAAACAACAAACCCUCCGUGGUACCUCAGGGGGAUCGUGAGUGCUAUGAAGACUAAAGCCCAUAUGAACAUUUGAGUACAGAUCUUUAAACAGACCUAUGUUUCCAUUUCCUUAGAGUAAGUACUCAGAAGUGGGAAUGCUGGACCAGCGGUAAAGGUAAGCGUAAAUACUUAGAGACUGCCAAGAUAUUUAAAGUGGCCAUAUAACUUUGUAUUCACACCAGCAAUGUCUGAGAGGUCUAGCUACUUCACAUCCUCGCUGAGACUUAGGUUGGUGGUCUUUUUAUUUUAGACAUUCUAUUGGAUGUGUAAUAGUUUUUCAUCUGGUUUUAAUUUUCAUUUCAAUUCUGUAGAGACGUUUAGCAUCUUUUCCUUCUUCAUUUAGUCAUAUACACUCUUUGGUGAAUUAUCUGUUCAAAUGGUUUGCCCUUUUAACAAAGUACUUUUUUUUAAUAAUCCAUUGUAAGAGUGCUUUUUUCUGAAUACAAGUCCUUAAUCAGAUAUGGUUUUUUUGCUUUUUUUAAAAUUUUAUGUGAGUAUAUAUGAUUUACAAUGUUGUGUUAGUUUCAGGUGUACAGCAGAGUGAUUUAUACAUUUAUAUAUAUUUAUUCUUUUUCAGAUUCUUUUCCCAUAUAGGGUAUUACAGAAUAUCGAGCAGAGUUCCCUGUGCUAUGCAAGGUCCUUGUUGAUUAUCUAUUUUAUAUGUAGUAGUAUGUAUAUGUUAAUCCCUACGUCCUAAUUUAUCCUUCCCCCAACUGUUCCCCUUUGGUAAACAUAAGUUUGUUUUCUAAGUCUUUGAGUCUGUUUCUGUUUUGUAAAUAAGUUCAUUUGUAUCAAUUUAUAGAUUCCACCUCUAAGUGAUGUCAUAUGAAAUUUAUCUUCCUCUGACUUACUUCACUUAGUAUGAUAAUCUCUAGGUCCGUCCACGUUGUCGCAAAUGGCAUUAUUUCAUUCUUUUUUAUGGCUGAGUAAUAUUCUGUUUUAUGUAUGGGUAUGUGUGUACGUAUGUAUAUAUAUAUACAUACAUACACACACAUAUGUAUACCACAUCUUCUUUAUCCAUUCAUCUGUUGAUGGACAUUUAGGUUGUUUCCAUGUCUUGGCUAUUGUAAGUAGUGCUGCUAGGAACGUUGGGGUGCAUGUAUCUUUUUGAAUUAGAGUUUUCGUCUUUUCCAGAUACAUGUCCAGGAUUGGAGUUGCAGAAUAUAUGGUAACGCUAUUUUUAGUUUUUUAAGGAAAUACA